rnacentral:tRNA from 1 species
GGCUCUAUGGUCAAGCGGUUAAGACACCGCCCUUUCACGGCGGUAACAGGGGUUCAAAUCCCCUUAGAGUCA